rnacentral:rRNA from 1 species
CAGCCGCGGUAAAACAUGCAAGUCGAGCGAUUCUCUUCGGAGAAGAGCGGCGGACGGGUGAGUAACGCGUGGGUAACCUGCCCUGUACACACGGAUAACAUACCGAAAGGUAUGCUAAUACGGGAUAAUAUGAGAGAGUCGCAUGGCUUUCUUAUCAAAGCUCCGGCGGUACAGGAUGGACCCGCGUCUGAUUAGCUAGUUGGUGAGGUAAUGGCUCACAAGGCGACGAUCAGUAGCCGACCUGAGAGGGUGAUCGGCCACAUUGGAACUGAGACACAGUCCAAACUCCUACGGGAGGCAGCAGUGGGGAAUAUUGCACAAUGGGCGAAAGCCUGAUGCAGCAACGCCGCGUGAGCGAUGAAGGCCUUGGGGUCGUAAAGCUCUGUCCUCAAGGAAGAUAAUGGCGGUACUUGAGGAGGAAGCCCCGGCUAACUACGUGCCAGCAGCCGCAGUAAAAC